CACCCUAACGCCUCUGCCAAAUUGUACCUUUUAUUUUCUCUCUCUCCCCUUGUUAUAACAAGGAUUUUCAAGAUCUGCUUGCUUCAUUCAGAUCAGCCUUGAUUUGAUUGUUUGUUUGAAUCAAUGGGUUCAUUCAGAUCUGCCUUGAUUUGGUUGUUUGAGUCAAUGGCGGGCGUGAUGAUUGAUAUCUACACGGUGGUGAAUCAAUUACCAGUUCAUUGUGUUGAUACAAUUCAUUAGAUUCUUCUGUUUUACUAUUAUGUUUAUUCUUUCAAAUUUAUGCAAUUCAUAGAUUCGUCUUGUUGUGUUUUUCUCUUUUCUGGAAGGGUUAAUCAAUCCCUUUUUGAACGAAAACACAUACGAUCACAUAGCAGUAUUAAUUUCCAGUUUCUUUUGUUAUAGCCUAGUCAAAUUUUUUUGAAAUAGUUCAUGGUCGAUAUUUUUGUUCUUGGCUUAAACAAUUUUUGAUAUACCACUAAUUAAUAGUGGAUGUAUUAAAAAUGGAUUUGUGUGCUUUAUUAUGUUCAAUAUCUUUCUUCCAUUCGGAAGAAUAAUACACAUUCCAAGAACAUAUUUUGGCGUGUUUCAUUAAGUCUAAUACCCUUUGAUCAAUUUCAUUGUUUGUAUAAACUUUAUUUCUUCUUGUAAUUGUUUUUGUGUACUACUAGUUUCUAGUGAUUAUGUCUAAUCAGCCCUCUCUCUGUGUUUUAUCUUGUUUUUAAAAAACCCAUAUUUUUCUUUUUAGUAAAACCCCCAUACAUUAUCUGGUUUUUCCGUGCUUCCUAGUGAUCACUUGUUGGAGUUGGUAUCCAGGUUUGAUGUUCAAUCCGUAGCGCACUGUAGGUCUCUUAACAAAGAUUGGAAUAAACUGAUGUGCAGUUUCCUCAUUUAGAGAAGUUAGUGCUUGCUUCUCAAGUAAGAAAGACUGCCCCAUGCCCCGGUCCAAUGAUUGUGCCUUUUGGUGGGUGUUUGCAUUGGAUGAAAAUUGAUACUUUGGAAGUGCUUAGUCUUGAUCUAAGUUCUCUUACUGUUCGGACUUUCAAGUUUCCUCCAUUCAAUGUGAAAUGUUUAGCACAUUUGUUUACUUCUCUUGGCUAUCUGUACUUCUCCGAAAGCCCUGGUGUUGAUUUUGGUAAUGUUAUCACUGUUUGGAGAAUGAAUGUGUAUGGUGAUGAUAGUACGUGGGUGCCACAGUUUCAAAUUGAUGCACAACCUGGUUUUCUGCUUAGUAAAUUCUGGCCCAUUCAAGUGUUCACCAACGGGGAUGCAUUGUUGUUACGAUUCAGAUCUGGGGUAGUCAUUUUCUACAAUAGCUCAACAAAAACCUUUCGUUAUAUGAAUGGGCAGCUUCAAUCGGAGCUUUUGAUUUGACCAAACUCCAGACUCCAGUUUUGAGCUUCACUGGCUGUGAUUCAACCAGCAACCAAAAACUUCAGUGAAAGGUUACUCAUCGGAAGGGGAGGAUUUGGUAAAGUUUACAUUGGGAACAUGAGUAUUCGACGUAGCUCAUGUUGCUAAUGAACAUAUGGUGUCUUCUGCAAACACUGCACUAUCAGCAGAAGAAGAUUAUUUUCCAGAUGGAGAAGAAGAUUGGAGAGAACCGAAAUCGUAUAAGGCACGUUUUUGGGCAUAAGAUGCACUAUGGAACAGGUUAAAACCAUCUAAGAGAGAAGAAAUCAGAUUAGCAUCAGGUAUUAACUCAUUCCAACUACUUUCUUUGAUAUGCUAAUUCUUCAACUUAUAACUAACACACCAAUCUAUAUCUACCAAAAGUAAGAUAGAAGUGUGCAAAGAUUGUGCAGAAUUGUGUGAGGCAGACAUAAGAGUGCCAAAGUAUGAAUUUAGCAAGCUUGCGGCUGCAACCAUUCUAUUCUCCGAUUCCAAUAAGAUUGGAGAAGGUGGAUCUGCUCAAGUCUACAAGGCUUUAUUCAUCACAAGACCUUGUCCCUUUGUUCAAAAAUGAGAUUCUGUUAGUUUCCAGUCUCCAUCCAUUAAACUGCUUGGAUAUUGCAUACAUGACAAAACACGAAUGCUUCUGUAUGAGUUCAUGGGCAAUGGAAGUUUAGAUUCGAAGAAGAACGACGUCGUAGGUUUCAUAUGGUCAGAUCGCUUCAAAGUCAUUAUUGGAAUUGCUAAAGGAGUUAUCUAUCUUCGUCAAGAGGCAAGUCAGAAAAUGAUUUACAGGAAUCAUAACCCAACCAUUAAAUUACUGGACAAUGAGAUGAAUCCUAAAAUUUCAGGCUUUGGCUUUGGCUUAGCCAAAAUUAUUGAAGAUGGCCACACACAAGUGUCCACCCGGAGACCACGUACUAUCAUGAUAUAUGUAUCCUUUCUGAGCCCCGAACAACGAUAUUUUGUUUCUUUGAUUUGUGUGUGCAGAGGUUAUUUCUCACCAGUAUUUUAUAUCAGAGAUCAAGUUUCAGAAAUGUCAGAUGUCUACAGUUUUGGUGUAUAUGUCUUGGAGAUAUUGAGUGGCAAGAGAUAUAGUAAUAGAGAAAGGGAGAACCUCAUUGGCAGUGUAAGCAUAACUAACUUUCGUGGUAUUCUAUGUAUAUAUAAUGUGCCUGCAAUGCAAGUUCAUCAUGGACAGUAAGGAUUGAGGUUAUACAAAUAGAUGAAUGGGAACAGCAAGUCGAACCACUGAUGAAACAUGAAUAACUUUUUAAAAUUUUAUCCUACUUGCUGCCUUUAAUUCACAUAUCAUCAUACUAUACAUACAUGAAAUAAAAGAGCAGAACUCAAGUGUGCAAAUAGACAAAUUGCACGUGUAUAUGACCGUGAAUGCAUGAUGAUAUGAUGAAUAUACAGGCUUUGGGAAAGAAUAGAAAUGUAUUAGCGAUGGUUGACGCAUACCUUGGAGGAUAUUUUUCAGCAGAAGAAGCACUGAGAUGUAUACAAGUAUGUCUGCUGUGCACCCAAUAUGACCCGCAGCAGCGCCCAACAAUGGCUUCUGCGCUGAGAAUGUUGCUUGGAGAACACUUACGGCUUCAAGAGAAGAUGGAACAGGCACAACGCCUUUCCAAUUUCGCGACAAGCUGCUCAUACCAUGUCUCCUCUACUCCAAGCAAUUGUGAGAGGUCUCAGUAGCUUCCAGUUGACGUGUUUAUGUUGAAUUUUAGUACCCUUUAGAAGAAUUCAGCUACUCUUUCACACUACGAAUGCAACAUGCAUAUCCUUUUUUCUAUAUUCUCAUAUAAGAUGAUAGUAGUUUUCGAAAUUUAAUUUCUUUUAAAAUGUUACUCCAUAUUUAUGUCUAUUUUAUACCAUAAUUUACAUAAGAGUGCCAAAGUAUGAAUUUAGCAAGCUUGCGGCUGCAACCAUUCUAUUCUCCGAUUCCAAUAAGAUUGGAGAAGGUGGAUCUGCUCAAGUCUACAAGGCUGUAUUACCCACAGGAAGCACAGUCGCAGUUAACAGAUAUUCUUCUACACGAGACAGUGUCCCAUGGUUCAGAAAUGAGAUUCUUUCAGUUUCCAGUCUCCAUCACCAGAACAUCAUUAAACUACUUGGAUAUUGCGUUCAUGACAAAACAUGGUUGCUUUUGUAUGAAUUCACGGAGAAUGGAAGUUUAGAUAGAUAUAUAUUUGGUUUGUGUUUUAGACUCUAUCCCUAGUUUUUUCAAUUUCAAAUGGAUGGAUAAAUAUAUAACCUAACAUUUAUUCUUCUGUUUCUUGAAUGUAAUGGAACAUUUGCACAUAGAUGAAGAACGACAUCCUAGGUUUCAAUGGUCAGAACGCUUCAAAGUCAUUAUUGGAAUUGCUAAAGGAGUUAUUUAUCUAAAUUAUCUUCAUCAAGAGUCGAGUCCGAAAGUGAAUAACAGGGAUCUUACCCCACCAAUAUAUUACUGGACAAUGAGAUGAAUCCUAAAAUUUCAGACUUUGGCUUUAGCCAGAAUUACUGAAGAUGACCAAUCACAAGUGUCCACGAACCUAGAUUAUUUGUCACCAGAAUAUGCUGUGGGAGGAAAAUUCUAAGAGAAGUUAGAUGUUUACAGUUUUGGUGUGUUAGUCAUGGAGAUAUUCAGUGGCAAGAGAAGCAAUGUAUACACGGAGAAUCAGAUUUACAAUGCAUGGAGGCUUUGGAGAGAAACAAGGAAUGUACGUAUUCGCAUUUCGCGAUGGUCGGGAAGAAGCGGUGAGCUGUGCACCCAAGUAUCACUGCAGCAGCGCCCAACUUACAUUUGGGGUCCAGAGUAUUAUUCCACUUGACAUGUUUAUGUUGAAUUUUAGUACCCUUGGCAGAAUUCAGUUACCCCUCUGCUUGUUUGCUCAUUUCAUUAAUUAUGUUCACAUCAUUUGCAACAACUAUAAGAUGAUACUCAUUCUAUAGUUAGAUUCUUCAAAAUUGUGAAAAAAGCUAUCUCUAUUUUAUGUAACCAUCAAGUGUUUUCUA